rnacentral:rRNA from 1 species
AUUGAACGCUAGCGGGAUGCCUUACACAUGCAAGUCGAACGGGGUGGCGAACGGGCGAGUAAUGUAUGGGAACGUGCCCACUAGCGGGGGAUAACUACCCGAAAGCGUAGCUAACUACUCCUACUUGUGGUGCGGCCGACAUCGGAUUAGCUAGUUGGUGGGGGAACGGCCCACCAAGGCGACGAUCCGUAGCUGGUUUGAGAGGACGACCAGCCACACUGGGACUGAGACACGGCCCAGACUCCUACGGGAGGCAGCAGUGGGGAAUUUUGGACAAUGGGGGAAACCCUGAUGCAGCCAUCCCGCGUGUGCGAAGAAGGCCUUCGGGUUGUAAAGCACUUUUGGCGGGAAAGCGGUACCUGCAGAAUAAGCACCGGCUAACUACGUGCCAGCAGCCGCGGUAAUUC